rnacentral:rRNA from 1 species
UGAGUAACGCGUAUCCAACCUGCCCACCACUUGGGGAUAACCUUGCGAAAGUAAGACUAAUACCCAAUGACGUCUCUAGAAGACAUCUGAAAGAGAUUAAAGAUUUAUCGGUGAUGGAUGGGGAUGCGUCUGAUUAGCUUGUUGGCGGGGUAACGGCCCGCCAAGGCUACGAUCAGUAGGGGUUCCGAGAGGAAGGUCCCCCACAUUGGAACUGAGACACGGUCCAAACUCCUACGGGAGGCAGCAGUGAGGAAUAUUGGUCAAUGGACGAGAGUCUGAACCAGCCAAGUAGCGUGCAGGAUGACGGCCCUAUGGGUUGUAAACUGCUUUUAUAAGGGAAUAAAGUGAGUCUCGUGAGACUUUUUGCAUGUACCUUAUGAAUAAGGACCGGCUAAUUCCGUGCCAGCAGCCGCGGUAAUACGGAAGGUCCGGGCGUUAUCCGGAUUUAUUGGGUUUAAAGGGAGCGUAGGCCGGAGAUUAAGCGUGUUGUGAAAUGUAGAUGCUCAACAUCUGCACUGCAGCGCGAACUGGUUUCCUUGAGUACGCACAAAGUG